ensembl:snoRNA
AUCCUUUUGUAGUUCAUAAGCAUGAUGAUUGGGUUUUCAUGCGCAUGUGUGAGAUGUGCUUCCCGCAAAUCUUGUUAUGAAGUAGGGCGCCUGACA